rnacentral:rRNA from 1 species
CCGGCGAACGGGUGCGUAACACGUGAGCGACCUGCCCAGUUGCGGGGGAUAGCCGGCCCAACGGCCGGGUAAUACCGCAUACGCGUUCCGGGGGGCAUUCCCUGGGGCGGAAACCUACGGGGCAAUUGGAGGGGCUCGCGGCCUAUCAGCUCGUUGGCGGGGUAACGGCCCACCAAGGCGAUGACGGGUAGCUGGUCUGAGAGGAUGGCCAGCCACAUUGGGACUGAGAGACGGCCCAGACUCCUACGGGAGGCAGCAGUGGGGAAUCUUGCGCAAUGGCCGAAAGGCUGACGCAGCGACGCCGCGUGGAGGAUGACGCCCUUCGGGGUGUAAACUCCUGUUGCCCGGGACGAAAGCCCGUUUCGACGGGGGUGACGGUACCGGGUGAGGAAGCACCGGCUAACUCUGUGCCAGCAGCCGCGGUAAUACAGAGGGUGCGAGCGUUGUCCGGAAUCACUGGGCGUAAAGGGCGCGUAGGCGGCUGGGUAAGCGUGUGGUGAAAGCCCGGGGCUCAACCCCGGGUCGGCCAUGCGAACUGCCCGGCUGGAGCACGGUAGAGGCACAUGGAAUUCCGGGUGUAGCGGUGGAAUGCGUAGAGAUCCGGAAGAACACCGGUGGCGAAGGCGGUGUGCUGGGCCGUGGCUGACGCU